UACAGUGGGGUGCAAACGUUGCUCGGAAUCAUUGGGCGUAAAGCGCGCGUAGGCGGUUACUUAAGUUGGAUGUGAAAGCCCUCGGCUUAACCGAGGAAGUGCAUCCAAAACUGAGUAGCUAGAGUACGAAAGAGGGUCGCGGAAUUCCCGGUGUAGAGGUGAAAUUCGGUAGAUAUCAGGAGGAACACCGGUGGCGAAGGCGGCUCUCUGGACCACAACUGACGCUGAGGCGGCGAAAGCUGAGGGGAGCGAAACGGGGGAUUGAAGAUGAU
rnacentral:rRNA from 1 species